rnacentral:rRNA from 1 species
AUACGUAGGUGGCAAGCGUUGUCCGGAAUUAUUGGGCGUAAAGCGCAUGUAGGCGGUAAUUUAAGUCUGUCGUGAAACUGCGGGGCUCAGCCCCGUAUGGCGAUGGAAACUGGGUUACUUGAGUGCAGGAGAGGAAAGGGGAACUCCCAGUGUAGCGGGGAAAUGCGUAGAUAUUGGGAAGAACACCGGUGGCGAAGGCGCCUUUCUGGACUGUGUCUGACGCUGAGAUGCGAAAGCCAGGGUAGCGAACGGGAUUAGAUACCCCGGUAGUCCUGGCCGUAAACGAUGGGUACUAGGUGUGGGAGGUAUCGACCCCUUCCGUGCCGGAGUUAACGCAAUAAGUACCCCGCCUGGGGAGUACGGCCGCAAGGCUUAAACUCAAAUGAAUUGACGGGG